CAGAAAAAGUUUUUCAUGAAGGAGGCAGGAGCCAAGUAUGUCAAAUGCCACUGAGAGACAGCAAAGGAGGCCAGAGAGUUGAACUUUGGCUUCGGCAAGAUGUGCACUGGUUCUUGAACGGAAGUUGAUUUCAACCGGAGUGUGGGGUUUGCCGGGAAUGGAGAGUACAUCCUAUCACAGCUGGAAGGGGUAAACAUCUUCACUGCACAGAUAGGACACCCAGACCAGGAGGUGCUGGGUGCAGAAUCGAAAAUGCCGGAAGCUGGAGUUCUGAAGCCCAGUCCCAGGGCCUCUGGGCGGUCCCCUGCAGACUGAAGUUCAAGUCCACAACCACAAGGAGCACCUCCUCAUGUUAACCAAGCUGUGCGUAUCUUUACAGAUGUCUGCCAGCAGACCUUCCCAGAUUUACUCCUUCACUCACUCAGGUUAUUCACCGUGAUUCUAUCUUUUCUGAUUCCUUCAUUGCAUUUGGGCUGCUAAACCAAGUGAAAGAAGAAAAUUCUCAGUCAUCAUGAAAUUGCUCAUCCACCAAACCAACCAGCCAGACCUCCUACAUGUGCUAAGUGCCGGUCACGGUCCUGCAUAGGUUUCAGCUAUGGCAUCACUGGUCCUCACCUGCCUGGAGGUGUCCCGGCUGUCCCAUGUCCACUGCGGAUCUAGUCUCUGUGUCACAUAUUUGCCACAUGUGUCACGGGCCUGAGUCCUUCCAGCUUCUUCCUCAUAGCAGGGCUGAUAACACAGGAAUUGCCAUCGAGCAAAGUUCCCAGAAUGAGUCUUUAUUAACUUCUCAAGCUGCCUUUGUUUUCCAUUAAAGAAAUCUUUUUUUAUAUAUAUAUUUGCAAAAGCCAUGCUGCUUAUGGUAAAAACACAAACAAUGACCAAGCGUGCUUCCUUUCCUCCAUUCCACAAUGCCAGCCACCUCGGGCAGUGGGCAAGUGUGGUUCAGCUCAUAUCCUUCUAGAUCCUCUCUACACAUUUGCGAAGGGAAUGCACACAUAACAUGUGUGAUGUAGUGUGUAUUUGUUGUUCUGCAACCUGCCUUCUCUCUAAUAGCAGACGGAGGACGUGGUUCCAGGCUAGCAUCUCAGACCUGCCUCUUCACUCCCAGGGCCGUGCAGCCUCCACAACAUGGACAGACGAGCCCGGGGCAGGUACCCGCCCCUGUCAGUGGGCGCCGACCACCAGCUGGAGUGCUGUGGCGGACACCUCUUUUAGCUCUUUUGUGUUUGAGCAUUUCUGAAGGGUUUCCCGAGAAGUGGAAUUGCUGGGUCACGUGCAUUUAAAAUUUUAAUGAAAACCCCAUGCCAGGCACGGUGCCAGACCCCUAGUAGGACCUUUGUGACCAUCUGCGGCCUCGUACUGCUAGAUGGCACUCCAGGAAGAUCACACUGUGUCCACUCCCACCGGCAGUGAACGGAGCCAUCGGACUGGCCAUACCUGCCACCAGGUCCCAGCAACGCUUGGGAGCGCCUGCCUGCAGGCUGCUUGGCCACUGCGGGAGGAUGUGAAGGCCCCGUGUCAUCCUGGGUGGAAAGAAGGCAGAGUCCGAGCUGCAGAUGGCCUCCUCCGUCUCCUCCAGGCCUGCAAAGCCCAUGGCUUAACCUGCUCCCGCUGGGGCUGGAGCUUACCACGGCGAGGGCCACGUCAGCCCUAGGACCUCUCCCACUGGAGCCAGCCAGGUGUACAGAAAGCACCGCAGACCUUCCUUCUGACCCCCCCCCCCACCCCCGCCCCGAUAAAUCCCUGAAACUUUUCUGACUGGGCCCACUCUCCCACCAUCAGCUCUGUGUUGUCUGUAACCACCGCGCUCCCUCCAGGCCCCGUCUCAGCAGGAACCCUCUGCCAGAGAGAGCCCCUGUUCCUGGUCUUCUGGGGGCUGACUGUGCCAUCCCCCCACCCCUGCCCCUGCCCGGGCCCUGAUCCCCAAGGCUGGGUAUCACUAGGAGACCAGGAGAGGCCUACAGGAGCCAUCCGGGUGGCAUCGGGUCUACCACAUCCUCCCAGGAGCUUGUUUGCGGAGGAAGGCCGGAGCUCCUGGGCUGCAGGGGAGCAGUGAGCGCAAGGCAGGGUUGGUGUGCAAAGGAGGGGCCCAGCCUGAGCCCCCAGACACGGGCUGGGGGUGUCUCUCUCUCUGCAUGCACAAUGCCAGGCUCCCUGAUGCCCUGGGCAGACUCUGCUGCAAUGCUGAAUGCUCCUUUCCUCUUUAGGGUUAACCCAGCAGCCCAAACCACCCGGGACUGGGGGGAAAAAAAAAAAAAGGCAGAUCUGCCCAGUCCGCCCUCCAGGAGAUUCCAGGGUGGGGCUGACCCAGGUCUCCAGGAGCCCCGCCCUACAGAAGGCCAUCCUCCCACUCCCCACCCCCAGGGCAGCAGCAGGAGGGUAGGGCGUGGAAGCACUCGGCGGCCCCUCCCACCCCAUCCCUGCCUCCCUGCCUCGGCUCUUUAGCACCCUAAGACUUCAGGGAACAGGAGGUCAAAGCACCUAUAAAC